UUGUAAAAAAAUUAUUUUAACUGCAAAAUCUUAUUUUUAAGAUGGUAAAUAAAAGCUUUUACUAUUACAAAAUGUAUUUUUAUUAAUUUUUCUUGUAUUUCUUUGAGCUCAAACAUGGCUUAUAUUUACUAGUUUUAUGUGUAUUUACAUUUACAUAAUCAUUUUUCUGAAUUGAAUUUUUUUAUUAUUAAUAUUACAAUACAAUUUAAUUAUUAUAAUACGAGUAGGGUCAAGAGGGGUAAAUGUGAAUAGUGGUAAUUGUAAAUGAGGCACCGAUAAUCAAUGUGUCCACAUUGCGACGGGAUGUAUUUAUUACAUGUUUUGUUCGUAUUUGUUCCGUAUUAUCGAGUAGUGGAAAUUCUCAAUAGAUUAUUUAUUUUUAAAACUUAAUUGCACAGAAGGUGGCAGAUCCAUAUAAUCCCAAUUCCACAAUAUUAUAUCGAUUAUAACAUUGCAUUUACGAUAAAACGAUAUUUUGAAAAAAAUACAAGUCCAAAAAAAAAUUAUAACGUUCAUAAUCGCGUGGGGGUCAAUAUGACCCAUUUCAACUUUGAUGGAUAUUUUUAAGUCAUACAUUUUUUUUUCGAAAGUAUUUAUUUAUGAAAAUCUAUUCAAUAUUACUAUAAAAACCAUCUUCUAAAUUUAUAUCUAUGUACACCUUUUAUGCAAUAUAAUACAUCCGUUUUUAUUUAUGUGGGGGUAUACUAGACCCCCACGCGACUGUUAAAGGGUUAAUAGAUUGUUCCAAUUAGUUGCCAUAAUUUAAUAUCAAUAAAUAUUAUAUUAUGAUAUUCUUUAAUUAUUAACUGAAUUUUAAAAACUUUACUUCAAAUAAAUGCUACUCAAAAACAAUAUAAUUAAUACCUGUAGAGGCUUAAGUCGUGUGCCGCGCUCUAUGCGCGAAGCCUGCACCUAUACCUAGACCGGUCACAUGGCCUUUCACACGCACUCUCCCACUGUAAAAUAGGUUAAGAUAGUUUUUAAGUUGUAAAUAAGUCAGUGUAUGUUUAACAUUGAGUGAGAUGUUUUUAGGUGUUCUUGCAGCUGGUCUAUGUACGCACAUAUCAGCGGUACUAAGAUAAACUGGAAAAUGAUGAGAAGUUUAAGUGUAUGAUAUCUUUAAGCGCAAAUGAUUGUGGUCGAUAUUAUAAAAGAGUUUAUCAAAAAGCAAGUUUGAGAAAACAUUUGUUGUUGUAAAGAUGUGGUUAAGAAAAAAAGUUUAAAUAUCAUAAACGAUUUACAGACAAUUGGAGGAAGAAAAAAUAUUCAUUGAAUAUGCAUAACUUAGUUUAAUCACCUUUUUUUAGAUACAAAAUAUAUUUAUAGAUACAAUAGUAUUUCUUUUGUUACAAGAAUUUCAGUUUUUUUACAUUAUAUGUUUUAUAUAAAUAUAAGUAUGAAAUUUAAAUGAGUUGAAUUAACACACAAAUAUUCUGUAAAAAAAAAUUUAGAAUAGAAUUUUAUAUUUUUUAAAUUUGUAACAAUUCUUAGUUUAAUACGUUUUAACGUUAAUUAUUAUCA